rnacentral:lncRNA from 1 species
UUGCCAGAAUUGAAAAGGUACUACAGGGAAACAUUACACACUGUGCAGAACCCUAUAUCAAAAAUUCUGAUCCAGUAAAGACGGCCCAGAAGGUGCACAGGACAGCUAAACAAGUGUGUAGCCGCCUUGGACAAUACAGAAUGCCCUUCGCUUGGGCUGCCAGACCCAUUUUCAAAGAUACUCAAGGCUCUCUUGAUCUGGAUGGGAGAUUUUCUCCUCUGUAUAAACAAGACAGUAGCAAGCUUUCAAGUGAAGACAUUCUCAAGUUGCUCUCAGAAUAUAAGAAGCCAGAAAAGACCAAACUGCAGAUUAUUCCUGGGCAGCUAAACAUCACAGUAGAAUGUGUUCCUGUGGAUUUAUCAACCUGUUUUUUUCCCUGCUAUAGAUUGUAUUACUUCUUCAUAUGUGCCCUUGAAGCCUUUUGAAAAGAAUUGCCAAAAUAUUACUGUGGAGGUUGAAGAGUUUGUUCCAGAAAUGACAAAAUAUUGUUAUCCAUUUACUAUUUACAAAAACCAUCUGUAUGUAUAUCCCCUGCAAUUAAAAUACGAUAGCCAGAAAA